rnacentral:rRNA from 1 species
GACCUGGCUGGGUGGUCUUGCCGAAAGGUAAGCACUGCUCCGGUCGGGUCUUUCCUUCUGGGGAACCAGUGUGCUCUUAAUUGGGUGCGCUGGGGAUCCAGGACUUUUACUUUGAAAAAAUUAGAGUGUUUAAAGCAGGCUUUCGCUUGAAUACAUUAGCAUGGAAUAAUAGAAUAGGAC